AGAAGCAAUACCGCGAGGUGGAGCAAAACUUCAAAAAUAGGUCUCAGUUCGGACUGUAGGCUGCAACUCGCCUACACGAAGUUGGAAUUGCUAGUAAUGGCAGGUCAGCAUACUGCCGUGAAUACGUUCCCGGGCCUUGUACACACCGCCCGUCACACCAUGAGAGUUGGGGAUACCCGAAGCCUGUGAGCUAACUUUUAGAGGCAGCAGUCGAAGGUAGAAUCAAUGAUUGGGGUGAAGUCGUAACAAGGUAUC
rnacentral:rRNA from 1 species